UGUGGGCCAAAUGACGUAAGAAAUUUGACAUGCUCAAAAAUCCUGCAGAAAUGCAAAAUUGACUGGCCUGAUGAACUCGGGAUGGCCGGGCAGUGAUAGUUGUUCCUUUCCAUCACUCGUUGUGUUGACUUCAUCAUGUCCAUUUUGUGAUGUUUUUUCACUAUAUAAUCAUAUUGCAAGUGCACGUGCAUUUGCAAUAUGUUUCAAUGUGCAUUUACCAUAUGAAAUUUGACCUUGCUCAAAAAUGCAAAAUUGACUGGUCUGAUGAACACAGGAUGGCCGAGCAGUGAUAGUUGUACAUUUCCAUCACUCGUUGUGUUGAUUUCAUCAUCUCCGUUAGGUGAUGUUUUUACACUAUAGAAUCAUAUUGCAAAUGCACGUGCAUUGUUGUGCAACUGGUAACCCAAAAAUAAAAAUAUGGUUGUAAAUGCAUUUACCGGUCAUUCUGAUAUUAAUGCUCGCUAUGGGAACACAGGAUGGCCGGGCAGUGAUAGUUGUACAUUUCCAUCACUCGUUGUGUUGAUUUCAUCAUGUCCAUUAGGUGAUGUUUUUACACUAUAGAAUCAUAUUGCAAGUGCGCGCGCAUUUGCAAUAUGUUUCAAUGUGCAUUUACCAUAUGAAAUUUGACAUGCUCAAAAAUGCAAAAUUGACUGGUCUGAUGGACACAGGAUGGCCGAGCAGUGAUAGUUGUACAUUUCCAUCACUCGUUGUGUUGAUUUCAUCAUGUCCAUUAGGUGAUGUUUUUACACUAUAGAAUCAUAUUGCAAGUGCGCGCGCAUUUGCAAUAUGUUUCAAUGUGCAUUUACCAUAUGAAAUUUGACAUGCUCAAAAAUGCAAAAUUGACUGGUCUGAUGGACACAGGAUGGCCGAGCAGUGAUAGUUGUACAUUUCCAUCACUCGUUGUGUUGAUUUCAUCAUGUCCAUUAGGUGAUGUUUUUUCACUAUAGAAUCAUAUUGCAAGUGCGCGCGCAUUUGCAAUAUGUUUCAAUGUGCAUUUACCAUAUGAAAUUUGAAAUGCUCAAAAAUGCAAAAUUGACUGGUCUGAUGGACACAGGAUGGCCGAGCAGUGAUAGUUGUACAUUUCCAUCACUCGUUGUGUUGAUUUCAUCAUGUCCAUUAGGUGAUGUUUUUACACUAUAGAAUCAUAUUGCAAGUGCGCGCGCAUUUGCAAUAUGUUUCAAUGUGCAUUUACCAUAUGAAAUUUGACAUGCUCAAAAAUGCAAAAUUGACUGGUCUGAUGGACACAGGAUGGCCGAGCAGUGAUAGUUGUACAUUUCCAUCACUCGUUGUGUUGAUUUCAUCAUGUCCAUUAGGUGAUGUUUUUACACUAUAGAAUCAUAUUGCAAGUGCGCGCGCAUUUGCAAUAUGUUUCAAUGUGCAUUUACCAUAUGAAAUUUGACAUGCUCAAAAAUGCAAAAUUGACUGGUCUGAUGGACACAGGAUGGCCGAGCAGUGAUAGUUGUACAUUUCCAUCACUCGUUGUGUUGAUUUCAUCAUGUCCAUUAGGUGAUGUUUUUACACUAUAGAAUCAUAUUGCAAGUGCGCGCGCAUUUGCAAUAUGUUUCAAUGUGCAUUUACCAUAUGAAAUUUGACAUGCUCAAAAAUGCAAAAUUGACUGGUCUGAUGAACACAGGAUGGCUGAGCAGUGAUAGUUGUACAUUUCCAUCACUCGUUGUGUUGAUUUCAU